UCGAGGAUCUUCGGCAAUGAGCGAAAGCUUGACCGAGCGACGCCGCGUGCGGGAUGAAGGCCUUCGGGUUGUAAACCGCUUUCGUAGGGGAGGAAAUUUCGGUGGGAUCACUCAUCGAUUUGACCUAGCCUAGGAAGAAGGACGGGCUAAGUUCGUGCCAGCAGCCGCGGUAAUACGAACCGUCCAAACGUUAUUCGGAAUUACUGGGCUUAAAGGGUGCGUAGGCGGCCCGGGAAGUUGGGUGUGAAAGCCCUCGGCUCAACCGAG
rnacentral:rRNA from 1 species